AGAGUUUGAUCCUGGCUCAGGAUGAACGCUAGCGGCAGGCCUAACACAUGCAAGUCGAGGGGUAACGAUUCCGAGCAAUCGGAAGGCGACGACCGGCGCACGGGUGAGUAACGCGUAUGCAACUUACCUCUAGCUAGAGCAUAGCCCGGAGAAAUCCGGAUUAAUACUUUAUAAGAUUCCGAAGAGGCAUCUCUUUGGUCUUAAAGCUCCGGCGGCUAGAGAUGGGCAUGCGUGCCAUUAGCUUGUUGGUGAGGUAACGGCUCACCAAGGCUGCGAUGGCUAUGGGGUCUUAAAGGAUGGUCCCACACACUGGUACUGAGACACGGACCAGACUCCUACGGGAGGCAGCAGUGAGGAAUAUUGCGCAAUGGACGAAAGUCUGACGCAGCCAUGCCGCGUGCAGGAUUGACGGCCCUACGGGUUGUAAACUGCUUUUGUAUACUAGGAAUCCCUCGGACGUGUCCGAGAUUGACCAGUGUACGAAUAAGCAUCGGCUAACUCCGUGCCAGCAGCCGCGGUAAUACGGAGGAUGCAAGCGUUAUCCGGAUUUAUUAGGUUUAAAGGGUGUGUAGGCGGGAAACUAAGUCAGUGGUGAAAGCCUACAGCUUAACUGUGGAAAUGCCAUUGAUACUGGUUUUCUUGAGUUCAGUUGAGGUAAGCGGAAUGUGUAAUGUAGCGGUGAAAUGCUUAGAUAUUACACAGAACGCCAAUUGCGAAAGCAGCUUACUAAACUGUAACUGACGCUGAGGCACGAAAGCGUGGGGAGCGAACAGGAUUAGAUACCCUGGUAGUCCACGCCGUAAACGAUGAUUACUCGCUGUGUGUUCGUUAGAGCACGUGGCUGAGCGAAAGCAUUAAGUAAUCCACCUGGGAAGUACGUCGGCAACGAUGAAACUCAAAGGAAUUGACGGGGGCCCGCACAAGCGGAGGAACAUGUGGUUUAAUUCGAUGAUACGCGAGGAACCUUACCUGGGCUUAAAUGCAGGACGACGUUCCGGGAAACCGGAAUUUCCUUCGGGACGACCUGUAAGGUGCUGCAUGGCUGUCGUCAGCUCGUGCCGUGAGGUGUCGGGUUAAGUCCCAUAACGAGCGCAACCCCUAUCAUUAGUUGCCAGCGGGUAAUGCCGGGGACUCUAAUGAGACUGCCACCGUAAGGUGAGAGGAAGGUGGGGAUGACGUCAAGUCAGCACGGCCCUUAUGUCCAGGGCUACACACGUGUUACAAUGGUCGGUACAAAGGGCAGCUACCUGGUGACAGGAUGCAAAUCUCUAAAACCGAUCCCAGUUCGGAUCGAAGUCUGCAACUCGACUUCGUGAAGUUGGAUUCGCUAGUAAUCGCGCAUCAGCAAUGGCGCGGUGAAUACGUUCCCGGGCCUUGUACACACCGCCCGUCAAGCCAUGGAAGCUGGGGGUACCUGAAGUCCGUAACCGCAAGGAGCGGCCUAGGGUAAAACUAGUGACUGGGGCUAAGUCGUAACAAGGUA
rnacentral:rRNA from 1 species